rnacentral:tRNA from 1 species
ACCUGGCUGGCUCAGUUGGUUGGGCAUCUGACUCUUGAUUUUGGCUCAGGUCAUGACCUCCUAGUUCGUGGGUUCAAGCCCCAUGUCAGGCU